GGAGCUCGCAGCUAUACAUGCAGUCGUGGGGCAGCAGGUCCGUAGCAAUACGGAUGCUGGCGACCGGCAAACGGGUGCGUAACACGUACGCAACCUUCCUUCAGGCGGGGAAUAGCCCGGGGAAACCCGGAUUAAUACCCCAUAAAAUCUUGGAAUGGCAUCAUUUCAUUAUUAAAGCUUCGGCACCUGAUGAUGGGCGUGCGGCUGAUUAGGUAGUUGGCGGGGUAACGGCCCACCAAGCCAGCGAUCAGUAGCUGAUGUGAGAGCAUGAUCAGCCACACGGGCACUGAGACACGGGCCCGACUCCUACGGGAGGCAGCAGUAAGGAAUAUUGGUCAAUGGACGAAAGUCUGAACCAGCCAUGCCGCGUGGAGGAUGAAGGUCCUCUGGAUUGUAAACUUCUUUUAUUUGGGACGAAAAAGGAGAAUUCUUUCUCCCCUGACGGUACCAGAUGAAUAAGCACCGGCUAACUCCGUGCCAGCAGCCGCGGUAAUACGGAGGGUGCAAGCGUUAUCCGGAUUCACUGGGUUUAAAGGGUGCGUAGGCGGAUAGGUAAGUCCGUGGUGAAAUCCUGCAGCUUAACUGCAGAACUGCCAUGGAUACUAUUUAUCUUGAAUAUCGUGGAGGUUAGCAGAAUAUGUCAUGUAGCGGUGAAAUGCUUAGAUAUGACAUAGAAUACCCAUUGCGAAGGCAGCUAACUACGCGAUAAUUGACGCUGAUGCACGAAAGCGUGGGGAUCAAACAGGAUUAGAUACCCUGGUAGUCCACGCCCUAAACGAUGAUUACUCGACAUUGGUGAUACACAGUCAGUGUCUGAGCGAAAGCAUUAAGUAAUCCACCUGGGGAGUACGA
rnacentral:rRNA from 1 species